GUGUUGCAUGAAAGGAGAGGUUAGCACUCUCCUUGACGAGGAUGGAAGAGGCCCUCAGGCCUAACAACAUGCAUUGCCACCUACUUCGUGGCAUCUAACUAUGGUUUUUA
ensembl:snRNA